rnacentral:rRNA from 1 species
UGGGGAAUAUUGCACAAUGGGGGAAACCCUGAUGCAGCAACGCCGCGUGAGUGAAGAAGUAUUUCGGUAUGUAAAGCUCUAUCAGCAGGGAAGAAGAAAGACGGUACCUGACUAAGAAGCCCCGGCUAACUACGUGCC